rnacentral:tRNA from 1 species
UCCUUGUUAGUAUAGUGGUGAGUACCCCUGCCUGUCACGCGGGAGACUGGGGUCUGAUUCUCCAACGGGGAG